rnacentral:rRNA from 1 species
AUUGAACGCUGGCGGCAUGCCUUACACAUGCAAGUCGAACGGCAGCACGGGUGCUUGCACCUGGUGGCGAGUGGCGAACGGGUGAGUAAUACAUCGGCACAUGUCCUGUAGUGGGGGAUAGCCCGGCGAAAGCCGGAUUAAUACCGCAUACGAUCUACGGAUGAAAGCGGGGGCCCUUCGGGCCUCGCGCUAUAGGGUUGGCCGAUGGCUGAUUCGCUAGUUGGUGGGGUAAAGGCCUACCAAGGCGACGAUCAGUAGCUGGUCUGAGAGGACGACCAGCCACACUGGGACUGAGACACGGCCCAGACUCCUACGGGAGGCAGCAGUGGGGAAUUUUGGACAAUGGGCGAAAGCCUGAUCCAGCAAUGCCGCGUGUGUGAAGAAGGCCUUCGGGUUGUAAAGCACUUUUGUCCGGAAAGAAAUCCUUGGCCCUAAUACGGUCGGGGGAUGACGGUACCGGAAGAAUAAGCACCGGCUAACUACGUG